AGCAGCCGCAGUAAUUUCAGCUCGAAUAGCGUAUAAAGUUGUUGCAGUUAAAAAGCUCAUAGUUGAAUUUUGGGGUUAGUAAGUUGGUCGUGCCUUCAGUAUGUACUGACUUUACUGAUUUCUCUUCUUGACGAACCAUGAUGUCAUUAAUUUGGUGUUGCGGGAAAUCAGAACUGUUAAUUUGAAAAAAUUAGAGUGUUUAAAGCAGGCUAACGCUUGAAUACAUUAGCAUAGAAUAAUGAAGUAGGACGUUAAUCCUAUUUUGUUGGUUUCUAGGAUUGACAUAAUGAUUAAUAGGGAUAGUUGGGCAUUAGUAUUCAAUUGUCAGAUGUGAAAUUCUUGGAUUUAUUGAAGACUAACUACUGCGAAAGCAUUUACCAAGGAUGUUUUCAUUAAUCAAGAACGAAAGUUAGAGGAUCAAAAUGAUCAGAUACCAUCGUAGUCUUAACCAUAAACUAUGCCGACUAGAGAUCAGAUGAUUGUUUAAAUUUUUUAAUGUACUUCAUUUU
rnacentral:rRNA from 1 species